rnacentral:rRNA from 1 species
CCUACGCGAGGCAGCAGUGAGGAAUAUUGGUCAAUGGACGAGAGUCUGAACCAGCCAAGUAGCGUGAAGGAUGACUGCCCUAUGGGUUGUAAACUUCUUUUAUAUGGGAAUAAAAUGAGCCACGUGUGCCUUUUUGUAUGUACUUUAUGAAUAAGGAUCGGCUAACUCCGUGCCAGCAGCCGCGGUAAUACGGAGGAUCCGAGCGUUAUCCGGAUUUAUUGGGUUUAAAGGGAGCGUAGAUGGGUUGUUAAGUCAGUUGUGAAAGUUUGCGGCUCAACCGUAAAAUUGCAGUUGAUACUGGCAGUCGUGAGUACAGUAGAGGUGGGCGGAAGUCGUGGUGUAGCGGUGAAAUGCUUAGAUAUCACGAAGAACGCCGAUUGCGAAGGCAGCUCACUGGACUGUGACUGACACUGAUGCGCGAAAGUGUGGGUAUCAAACAGGAUUAGAUACCCGAGUAGUC